GUUUAAGUAGUUUAAUUAGAAUAGUAAUUUGUGGAAUUACAGGUAUUGUGUAAUCUUAAAUCA
rnacentral:tRNA from 1 species